rnacentral:lncRNA from 1 species
CCUCCUCCUCCUCCUCCUCAUCUUAUGUUUGGUCCCCUGACUGUCCCCCAGCUGCUACCUGAAGCACGCACUCUGAGGAAGACAGGGUCUGCCUGCUGGGUUGGGGAGGUGCCCCCUCUUUAGCCAAAAGAGAGGUGAUCCAAAGCCCGCCCCAGGCCCCAAACCCCCCCUCCAGGAAGCCCACCUGCUUCUCUGUGAACAUCCCAACAGAAGCCAUCGACACAGCCAUGAGACAGACGUCCCCUUUCAAAGGUGCUUCCCACCCAUCUGUCCUUACCCCCCUUCGAUCGUCUUCAGUCUUCCCGGCCUGCUCCACCCUCUGUCCCCAGCCACACCUGGGCCCCGAGGUCCUGUCUGCCUGCCAUGGGGUGGUGAGCCCCACCUGCAGAUCCCCUAGGAGCCGCCAGAGGGGCUCGUCCACACGGAGGCGGCGUGUCCCAGGAGCCUAGGCCAGGCCACGGCCGCGGCCCCUGCGCCUGCUCCCAGCCCCACACCUGGCCCCACAGGAACGAGCCCCCGUGUGAGCCAGGCCUUGCCGCAGAGGCAGAACCACCACACGUGCAGAUCCUCUGUGUCCCCCAGAGUCUCCCGAGGCCUGACCAUGGCACCCAGACCCUCUCCUGAGAGUCCCCAGAAAGAGGUGUUUCUGCCCAGUUUCUCCCUGUGAAUGUCUUCUCUGGGGUCCCGUCCUCUGAGAGUCUCGAACCCUCCUGAGGGUGGGAAGGAAGGGGAGGGAAAGGAGGGACCCUCCAGGCUCGGGGACCCCCCAGCCCUGCCAGCUGUUUCCAAGAUGGUCACCUGCCCUAGGGGGCUCAUUGCUGCACCCUGGAAGGCCUGGGGAUUGUGCAUCCCUUGACAGUUAGGAGAGCACUGUGACCCCAUGGCUCCCUGCGUCACCCCGACACUGGCCUCGUAGGAAUUAACUGGUUGCACCUGCUUUGCCACCUAAGUCACCACUGAGCUUCUCUGGCCAGUGUUUGGGCUGCAGGUGAGACUUUCAAAUCCAGGGAAGACUGUCAGCCGUGAAAAUCAGCCCCAUUUGGGCUGAAAUGUCCAUUGUCCUGGAGCCCAUGUGCCUCUGGAGCCGUGAGCCACUCUCUUGCCCCAGGCUGAUGGGCACAGCCCUGGGCAUGCCCUCCCAUGGGGGCCUUGUCUGCCUUCCCUCUCUUCUGCUUGAGGACUUGGCUUGGGUUUGGACCUGGAUCUCGCUUCCCCAGCACCUAGGCAUUGGCACAGGGCUGCCUGUGGCCUUCAUGCUGGCUGCCCCUGUGCAGCACUCUGGGGACACAGUACUUGGUGACAAGCAGGCCAGAGGAAUAGGGGCAGGGAGGUGAGAAUGCAGCAGACCCCCCAGAGCACAUCCCCAUGGCCUGCACCUCCUGUGGUAUGCACGCCGCUGGUGUCCGGAACAGAUGCCUGGGCAGAAGGGCCCUAAACUCGUGCCACCUGGCCCCGCGCUAGUCAGAAGCUCCAGAGCCACGGGAGGUACCUUCAGCUGGAGGGAGGCCUGUGGCUACAGGGUCCUGGAAGGCUGGGCCAGACCCAGGGAGGUUCAGCAUGGUGCAGCUUUCCAUGCCACCAGGUACCACUGUCCCCAACUUUGGCUCAGACCUAGCCCAAAUUUGACCUUUGGCCUGCAGGAACCGUGACUGAGCUGUCUGUUGUGCUUUGGCUUCUGAGACAUCCAGGGCUUGGGUUUGCACGUGAACCCCCUCACCUUUGCUUGUGAAAUCCCUUCUUGCCCAGGGAGAGCAAACCCAGGAGGAGCCCCCUCGUCAGGGCUGGCCAUUCAGAGGAUACACAGUGCAGAGAGUGAGGCCACCAGAAAUUUAGUUCCUAAGAUCAAAGGGCAUGUGAGCUUAGGACGUUUUGCUUUACAAUGGAUCUGUGGUGCUCAAUGCAGGGCCAUCCUCAGAUGAGGCUGAGCUCUGAGGCCAAGGAGAAAACGCAUGCUCCUGAGCAUUUUCUCAGAUGUCUUCAGCCAUCUUGAUGGGGAGCCCAAUGACAUUUAGGAUCUGCCGGAGUCAUCAGGUGUUCCUAGAGGCUUCUAGAGGAAGUUUGGGAAGAAAGACUAAUAGGUGUAAAAAUAUAGACAUAUAUAUUAUAUAUAGUUAUAUAUAUUUAAAGAGAUAUCUAUACAUAUAUAUAUAUAUAUAUAUAUAUAAUUACUAUACUCUGCAUCUGUACAAAGUAUGAUUUAAGCAGCCCAGGUAGCAUCAGACACGUAAUGCAUGAAUGUAAAUAUCCUGAAACUGCCUUCUUAGCAAUGUGCCGUGUGUACAGGGGAAAAGACCUGUCCCUUGGGGUUCUGUCUCAAUGGACAGAUGUACAAGUUGAAGCUGUCUUGUCCACCAACAAGCCAUAAUGUCAAUUUCAUGCUGAGGCUUCUGUAUAGGAAGUGGGACCAGCAGCCUUGGGGUGGGGUGCACCGAAAGCUGCUUAUGAGGAAGGAAGCACCGUGAC